GUGGAGCUAGCUUAGUCGGUAGAGUGCUUGCCUAAUGUGCAGAGACCUGGGUUGGAUCCCCAGCACCACA
rnacentral:tRNA from 1 species